rnacentral:rRNA from 1 species
AGAGUUUGAUCCUGGCUCAGGACGAACGCUGGCGGCGUGCUUAACACAUGCAAGUCGAACGGAAAGGCCCUGCUUUUGUGGGGUGCUCGAGUGGCGAACGGGUGAGUAACACGUGAGUAACCUGCCCUUGACUUUGGGAUAACUUCAGGAAACUGGGGCUAAUACCGGAUAGGAGCUCCUGCUGCAUGGUGGGGGUUGGAAAGUUUCGGCGGUUGGGGAUGGACUCGCGGCUUAUCAGCUUGUUGGUGGGGUAGUGGCUUACCAAGGCUUUGACGGGUAGCCGGCCUGAGAGGGUGACCGGCCACAUUGGGACUGAGAUACGGCCCAGACUCCUACGGGAGGCAGCAGUGGGGAAUAUUGCACAAUGGGCGGAAGCCUGAUGCAGCAACGCCGCGUGCGGGAUGACGGCCUUCGGGUUGUAAACCGCUUUCGCCUGUGACGAAGCGUGAGUGACGGUAAUGGGUAAAGAAGCACCGGCUAACUACGUGCCAGCAGCCGCGGUGAUACGUAGGGUGCGAGCGUUGUCCGGAUUUAUUGGGCGUAAAGGGCUCGUAGGUGGUUGAUCGCGUCGGAAGUGUAAUCUUGGGGCUUAACCCUGAGCGUGCUUUCGAUACGGGUUGACUUGAGGAAGGUAGGGGAGAAUGGAAUUCCUGGUGGAGCGGUGGAAUGCGCAGAUAUCAGGAGGAACACCAGUGGCGAAGGCGGUUCUCUGGGCCUUUCCUGACGCUGAGGAGCGAAAGCGUGGGGAGCGAACAGGCUUAGAUACCCUGGUAGUCCACGCUGUAAACGGUGGGUACUAGGUGUGGGGUCCAUUCCACGGGUUCCGUGCCGUAGCUAACGCUUUAAGUACCCCGCCUGGGGAGUACGGCCGCAAGGCUAAAACUCAAAGGAAUUGACGGGGCCCCGCACAAGCGGCGGAGCAUGCGGAUUAAUUCGAUGCAACGCGUAGAACCUUACCUGGGUUUGACAUGGAUCGGGAGUGCUCAGAGAUGGGUGUGCCUCUUUUGGGGUCGGUUCACAGGUGGUGCAUGGCUGUCGUCAGCUCGUGUCGUGAGAUGUUGGGUUAAGUCCCGCAACGAGCGCAACCCUUGUUCACUGUUGCCAGCACGUUAUGGUGGGGACUCAGUGGAGACCGCCGGGGUCAACUCGGAGGAAGGUGGGGAUGACGUCAAGUCAUCAUGCCCCUUAUGUCCAGGGCUUCACGCAUGCUACAAUGGCUGGUACAGAGAGUGGCGAGCCUGUGAGGGUGAGCGAAUCUCGGAAAGCCGGUCUCAGUUCGGAUUGGGGUCUGCAACUCGACCUCAUGAAGUCGGAGUCGCUAGUAAUCGCAGAUCAGCAACGCUGCGGUGAAUACGUUCCCGGGGCUUGUACACACCGCCCGUCAAGUCAUGAAAGUUGGUAACACCCGAAGCCGGUGGCCUAACCGUUGUGGGGGAGCCGUCGAAGGUGGGACUGGUGAUUAGGACUAAGUCGUAACAAGGUAGCCGUA